CCCUUCUUCUACAUGUUGAUUUUUCAUUUGGCAUUUGAAUGCAAAUAGAUACUCAUUUAGACAAUGUUUUUUAACAUGAUGGUCUCUUAUAAGAAUUCUUAUGCUUGUAGUUCUAAUUAUUAACUUAAUACAUUUAUGCACUAUCUAAACACUUUUUUUAAAAAUAUAAAUCCAUAAUAUUUGAUUAUUAUGAUGAUGACAUUAGAGAAAUAUUAAAUGAAUCCAUCCAAAUUUCAAAUCAAUCCACAAUUGAUAAAAUACAAAUUUACUUUCACGUGGCAUCCAUAGAAACUUCUCUUCUUACCAUACAUCUUUUAUCAAUCCUUCUUCAAAAUCCAUCUCCAAUGCCUCUCCAACUUCCUUCCAAUGUAAUAUAGUCUUCAUGUUGCACAUAUCUACCUUUGCAGCUAAUAUCUCAUACUUAAAUUUCCUACAUAUCUAUGAGAAGCAAACCAACACACCAAUCUUGCCUACUAUUUCAAUUUUCUUUUUGUUUAAAAACAUAAUAUUAGGUCAUUUGAUCCUUUGGAAUCCUUAUUGAUGUUAAAUUUUUUAUAUGCACACAUACACACACAUAUACAUACAUACAUACAUAUAUACAUACAUAUUUACACAUAUAU
rnacentral:lncRNA from 1 species